GUACACGCUGUGACUAGCAUAUCAAUAAGCGGAGGAAAAGAAACUAACAAGGAUUCCCUCAGUAACGGCGAGUGAAGCGGGAAGAGCUCAAAUUUGAAAUCUUGAAAGGUCACCUUUCACGAAUUGUAGUUUAAAGAAGUGUUUUCUGUUACGAUCGUAAUAUAAGUUCUUUGGAAUAGGACAUCACAGAGGGUGAGAAUCCCGUCUAUGAUUGCGAUUUGUAGCUUUGCGAUACACUUUCAAAGAGUCGGGUUGUUUGGGAGUGCAGCCCAAAACGGGAGGUAAAUUUCUUCUAAGGCUAAGUAUUGGCGAGAGACCGAUAGCGAACAAGUACCGUGAGGGAAAGGUGAAAAGAACUUUGAAAAGAGAGUUAAAUAGUACGUGAAAUUGUCAAAAGGGAAGCGUUUAACACCAGUGUUGUUUUCUGAAAAUCAACCUCUGUUAGCUUUAUGCAUGUUUGUUUAGACCUAAUCAGCUAUCUUGCAUGUUCUAUUGUUUGCAGUGGUGCACUUUUCAAUUUACAGGUCAACAUCAGUUUUUUUUACCGUAAAAAAGUUAAAGAAAGGUAGCUCAUGGCUCCGGUCGUGAGUGUUAUAGUCUUUUUCCUAUGCGGUAGGAGAGACUGAGGUCUGCAGUGUAGGCUAUUUGGCUAGAUACUCAGGUGCUAUGUGAUACCAUUUCAUAAGCAACUUGUUGAUUAUGUUUUGUCUAUUGCAUACUCGCUUGUACUAUCAUACCUACGCUUAGGAUGUUGAGUAGCGACAUACGCA
rnacentral:rRNA from 1 species